rnacentral:rRNA from 1 species
UACGUAGGGUGCGAGCGUUGUCCGGAAUUAUUGGGCGUAAAGAGCUUGUAGGCGGUUUGUCGCGUCUGCUGUGAAAUCUCAAGGCUCAACCUUGAACUUGCAGUGGGUACGGGCAGACUAGAGUGUGGUAGGGGAGACUGGAAUUCCUGGUGUAGCGGUGAAAUGCGCAGAUAUCAGGAGGAACACCGGUGGCGAAGGCGGCAUCCUGGACCGACACUGACACUGAGGAGCGAAAGCCAGGGGAGCAAACGGG